rnacentral:lncRNA from 1 species
CUUGUUUGGAACACAUGGAGUGGAGGAUGGAUAAUUUCCCAAAGGAAGAGACAGCAGUCAAAUAAAAACAACAGGAGCAUUACAUCAAGUCUUUGGGUUUAAAACAUUUUUUGGAUGAGAGGAGGCUGGAUGUUCCUGGCUCCUGGGGCAUGGGACUGUGUCAUUCCCUUCAAUUGACAACUGUGAAAAGAAGGCCAUUCGAACCCAUUCUGGCGUUGCUGGGCUCUUCACCGUGAAGUCCUCAGCUAUGUCUCUUUCUCUUCGCACUGCGGCCACAGCGUCAGCAAUGGCAAAGAACACAGAUGACCCCAGGAACAUCCCAGACUCCCCGAGGCCCUGUAAGAAGGCACAUUGGUGUAAGAAACUUCCAUACUACACUACAAGUUUCUAGAGGGUAGGGGCCAGGUCUCGUUCACCAUUGUGUCCCCAACCCCUGCACAGUGUUUUGUACACAAAAUCUUCUCAAUAAAUGUUUGUUGGCUGACUUACUGACUGAAUCAGAAGCUUGAGUAGUCUUAAAAAUCCCAGCAUAGGCUGGGCUUGGUGGCUCACGCCUGUAAUCCUAGCACUUUGGGAGGCCGAGGCGGAUGGAUCAUGAGGUCAAGAGAUCAAGACCAUCCUGCCCAACAUGGUGAAACCCCGUCUCUACUAAAAAUACAAAAAUUAGCUGGGCGUGGUGGUGCGCGUCUGUAGUCCUAGCUAUUUGGGAGACUGAGGCAGAAGAAUUGCUUGAACCCGGGAGUUGGAGGUUGCAGUGAGCCAAGAUAAUGCCAUUGCACUCCAGUUGGGUGACAGAGCAAGAUUACAUCUCAAAAAAAAAAAAAGCAAAGACAAAGAAAAAAAGUCCCAGCAUAAUCUGAAUUUCCCAGAUCUUGAAUCCCGUCUGGGUUAAAUUUUGUUCCCUAGGAAAGGUAUGUAUGUGUGUAUGUGUGUGUGUAUGAGUGUCUUUGCGUGGUAAUGGGAAAGUACCCUAUUUAGUAAAACACAUUCAAUGGAUUGAACUAGCCAGUUUUAUCAGCAGAGAGAAAAAUGCCUUUUUUAACUUCAGGGUCAGGAUAGGCAGGGUACUCUAGAAGAAAGAGUACAGACUUUGAUACCAGAUGAAAGGUUGUAAACCCAU